CACAAAGUCCAGAACGAAUUUCCAAGGAUCAAACCAACUUGUUAAACUUCCCUCCCCUGAAUUAAAAGUUCAGUUGGCCGAAUCUGCCAGCUUCCUCGCUCCUUCCCUCUCUUCUCCUGUGCUGGGAAUUGUCAGAACGGCCUUCAAGUUUGGCCAAAAUUACGGUGCCCGCUUAUUCCGCAGCAUUUCAAAUAUUUGCCCUGGAGGACGUCAUACAUUUAGGCUUCCUGGUAUCCCAGCUUUGAUAAAGUUUGAGGAGCUGUGCCCUUCC
rnacentral:lncRNA from 1 species